GACCACAAGCAAAUGUAUCUGAGAUGGUGAAUUUUGCUUCAAGCACCUCUCCUACAGUUACUAUUGGGAUCAUUUCCAAGAAAAGAGUACAACUCCUAAGGCGUUUGCUAUCAUAGUUGAAAUCUCAAAUUGCCAUAGUUGCUUCAUCUAAUUUUGUUAAAUCAAGUAAUGAUCUUCUUGUCAAUCUUGAAAAAUCUCUUUGGGAUAUAGAUUCUAGAGCAAACAGGCAUAUAACAGGAUCUUCAAAUAAAUUUACAGCCUCUAUCCUAUGUUCAGAAAAAGAAAAAGUCUGCAUAGCAGAAGGAUUCUUUGCCAAAUUUUUGGAACAAGUUCUAUUGAUGUACUCCUAUUAUAAACUUAAUUUCAGUUCUUCAUGUUCUCAGUUUUUCUAUUAAUCUUUUGUCUAUUAGUUUCAUUAUUGAAGCACUU
rnacentral:misc_RNA from 1 species